GACAACAUCUCACUCUGUCGCCCAGGCUAGAGUGCAGUGGCAUGAUCACCACUCACUGCAGCCUCCACCUCCCGGGCUCAAGCCAUCCUCCUGUCUCAGCCACCUGAGCAGCUGGGACUACAGGCACACACCACCACACCUGGCUAAUUGAAUCCACACUCUUGAAUUGGGUGAUGAUUACAGGAAGACACUGCAAGAAGGAUCAGCCUCCCAUCUUUCUGGGGGAAACCUGCAUUAGAACCUCAUAAAGCAGCCUGUACAGCUUGAGCUCACAUUCGUAACAAAAAGAGAUCAGCAUUUAAAGCAGUAGACUGAGUAAAGAAAUCUGCCCUCACCAGUGCAGAGCUCCUGGUACUGGAACUUACACUACUGACUUUCCUGGACCCCCAGCUUGCAGAUGGAGGAUUAUGGAACUUCUCAGCCUUCAUAACUGUGGAGCUAAUCCCUCACAAUAAAUCUCUUCCGGUACAUCUACAUAAAGUCUAUUGGUUCUGUUUCUGUUGGAACCUUGACUAAUACAGGGACACAGAAGAGGGAAGGGGGAGAGGGGACUCAUGAGCCAAGCCUUGAGGAGCAGUUGCCUUCUCCAGGUAUAGAAGUGGAUAGGAGUCCCGCCACACAUGCUUGCAUGUGCACAUCCUCAGGCUCCUGUCAUUGGGUGGGUGGGACAAAUGGUCCUGUGACAUCUGCCUGGGCUUGAGCUCAGCUCAAACCACUCAGAAGAGUUACUGCCCAGAGUUCUUGGGAGAAUUCCAAGGCUGAAGGCACUGUCUCCUUCCAACAGAGAUGAGCCCAUUCCAAACACUUAGGGCUUGGGUCUCAAGAUGAUCUCAAGAGCCUUCUCCUUUAUCUUCUCUCCUUCCUCCUGCUCCUUUUCUUCCUUCUGAAAGGGGCCCAA
rnacentral:lncRNA from 10 species